rnacentral:lncRNA from 1 species
AAGACGCUGCUCUCCUCCCCUGUACCCGUCAGUCAUGGAUUCGGGAACAGAUGGCUCGCUUCGGCCUCGGCGGCUCCUCUGUUUCGUCGUCAUCGCUCUGCUCUGCUCUCUAAGCCUCAUCCGUCCCGCCUCAGGUAUCAUCUUCUUGCCUUGUUUACUACGCAGCGAAGAGAAUACAUCGAUUCCAUCGCAUGGGACUGAACAGGGCUGAGCAGAGGCGGAGGAAGGCGGUCACUGGUCGUCUCUUUGGAGGACUACAGCGGGCCACGAGCCAAUCCCAGGCACCUGCCGAACCCCAAAACGAUCUCCAAACCCAAGCCCAAGCCCAAGCGAAGAAGGUAGCCUUUCAAGUGCACAUCAAGAAGUCGUUCGAUGCAUGAUGGAUUGGAUGAGUGAUGUCUUCCCCGGUGUUCAACUCAGGUGAAGGAUGAGCAACUUGUAAUGUUGAGGUGCAUAGAAUAACAUGGCCACAGUGCUUUUACCUAAUAGAAACUGUUGUUCUUGAAGAGAUGAGAGAUAAUGGAGUUUGUGACAAAC